GUCGUAACAAGGUCUCCGUAGGUGAACCUGCGGAGGGAUCAUUACACAAAUAUGAAGGCGGGCUGGAACCUCUCGGGGUUACAGCCUUGCUGAAUUAUUCACCCUUGUCUUUUGCGUACUUCUUGUUUCCUUGGUGGGUUCGCCCACCACUAGGACAAACAUAAACCUUUUGUAAUUGCAAUCAGCGUCAGUAACAAAUUAAUAAUUACAACUUUCAACAACGGAUCUCUUGGUUCUGGCAUUGAUGAAGAACGCAGCGAAAUGCGAUAAGUAGUGUGAACUGCAGAAUUCAGUGAAUCAUCGAAUCUUUGAACGCACAUUGCGCCCUUUGGUAUUCCAAAGGGCAUGCCUGUUCGAGCGUCAUUUGUACCCUCAAGCUUUGCUUGGUGUUGGGCGUCUUGUCUCUAGCUUUGCUGGAGACUCGCCUUAAAGUAAUUGGCAGCCGGCCUACUGGUUUCGGAGCGCAGCACAAGUCGCACUCUCUAUCAGCAAAGGUCUAGCAUCCAUUAAGCCUUUUUUUCAACUUUUGACCUCGGAUCAGGUAGGGAUACCCGCCGAACUUAAGCA
rnacentral:rRNA from 1 species